GUGUCCUGCCUGGGUUGCCACUUUCUUCUUAACCCUCUCCUAGUAAAAGAAGGAAAAAUGACACCUUGGUUUCCAGGUGUUUUCCUUUUAGUAAUAUUCAAAGGUGUCCAGUCACAAAUCCAGCUCAAAGAAUCAGGAGGGGGCGUCAAAAGACCUGGAGACACCCUCCGCCUCUCCUGCCAAGCCUCUGGGUUCAACUUCGGAGGCUAUGCAAUGAACUGGGUGAGACAAGCUCCUGGAAAGGGCCUGGAAUGGGUGGCCUAUAUAGGUACAUCUUCAACUCCCAUUUACUACUCGGAUUCUGUCAAAGGAAGAUUCACCAUUUCCCGGGAUGAUUCAAGCAGCCAGCUGUCUUUGCAAAUGAACAACUUGAAACCAGAGGACACUGCUGUUUAUUACUGUGCAAGGCGCACAAUGAGAGGAAGUAAAUCUAACCUCAGACAAAAACUUUCCUUUGCAAACUUAUUAGAAAAAAUGUUCCUGGUUGCAGCAAAUGAAGUGGUUAGUUCAAGCUAA